CUAGUGGCGCACGGGUGCGUAACGCGUGGGAACCUGCCCUUAGGUUCGGAAUAACAGUUAGAAAUGACUGCUAAUACCGGAUAAUGUCUUCGGACCAAAGAUUUAUCGCCUUUGGAUGGGCCCGCGUUGGAUUAGAUAGUUGGUGGGGUAAUGGCCUACCAAGUCGACGAUCCAUAGCUGGUCUGAGAGGAUGAUCAGCCACACUGGGACUGAGACACGGCCCAGACUCCUACGGGAGGCAGCAGUGGGGAAUAUUGGACAAUGGGCGAAAGCCUGAUCCAGCAAUGCCGCGUGAGUGAUGAAGGCCUUAGGGUUGUAAAGCUCUUUUACCAGGGAUGAUAAUGACAGUACCUGGAGAAUAAGCUCCGGCUAACUCCGUGCCAGCAGCCGCGGUAAUACGGAGGGAGCUAGCGUUGUUCGGAAUUACUGGGCGUAAAGCGCACGUAGGCGG
rnacentral:rRNA from 1 species